GUGAAAUUUGUUUGUACUGUAACAGACUGAUUUUUAAAUCACAGACUCAUGUGGAAUGGUUGAUGCAGAGGGCACACCUGGAGAUCAGGUUGCUCAGGGCUGGGGCCAGUUGGGUUUUGGAUGUCCCUGAGGAUGGAGACCCCAAUAGUUUACCUGUUGACCUGUCCCUGGGCACCAGUGAGACGAGUGUGGCUGUAUCUCCUCCAUUCCCUGCCAUCAGGUACAUCACAGGCACUGUGACAGCAUGAGGCAGCAGAAGAUUCAAGUUGUAUCAAGAGAAUCAGGAGCUGAGAAUAAGGGAAAGAUGCCUCUUGUAACAGCAGCAAAUCUGGCCCAGAGCCUUUCUCAAGAGGAGCCUUGUUUUUGGCUUCAUCCUCCUCCACAUCAUGUGUCAGCUCUGGCACCAGCUCAGCGUGACAAGCAACUUCUAAAAUACAUAGCCAAGCUCACAGAUCCUCCCCUUGCAUGUGCUGGGAUAAACUUUAGAGAAAAUUUCUAGAAAUGUCUUGGGUGCAUGAGAAACUCCUGAACCUCCCCAGCUGUCCAGACUCCAACUAGUAGUCAGUGGACUCAGAGGAAAAACCCAAAAUACCUGUACAACCCAAACCAAAUGAAACCAACAGGACUUGCAAUUGUUGCUAGAGACAAAGAGUCAGUAAGUUUAUUUUUAUUUAUAUAUUGCCAUCCAUGAGAAAAGGCAGAUCAUAGCCUAUAG
rnacentral:lncRNA from 1 species